rnacentral:lncRNA from 1 species
UGUAUUAGAAAACCAUCUACGUAUUUACCAUUCUAAUUAACACGAUGAUCUCGGUUUCCAAUAUGAGCGAGUCCAUUCUGUUUCUUAGGUGGAGGACAUGGUGGCGAUCCAUGCAUCCACAGCUCUAUGCCAUGCAAAAGAUGCAAUGUAGAGGAUACUCUACAUGGAUAUAUAUAGACUUGUCAUAAAUAAAUAUAUUUAGAUUGUGGAU